rnacentral:rRNA from 1 species
AAUAUUGGACAAUGGGGGCAACCCUGAUCCAGCCAUGCCGCGUGUGUGAAGAAGGUCCUCGGUUUGUAAAGCACUUUAAGUUGGGAGGAAGGGCUGUAGGUUAAUACCCUGAAGUUUGGACGUUACCAACAGAAUAAGCACCUGCUAACUCUGUGCCAGCAGCCGCGGUAAGACAGAGGGUGCAAGCGUUGAUCGUAAUUACUUGGCGUAAAGCGCGCGUAGGUGGUUCAGUAAGAUGGGUGUGAAAUCACCGGGCUUAACCUGGGAACUGCUUUCAUAACUGCUGAGCUAGAGUACGGUAGAGGGUAGUGGAAUUUCCUGUGUAGCGGUGAAAUGCGUAGAUAUAGGAAGGAACACCAGUGGCGAAGGCGACUACCUGGACUGAUACUGACACUGAGGUGCGAAAGCGUGGGGAGCAAACA